UGGAUCAGCCUCCGUUAUGUUAUUCUUUGCACUUUCAGGGUCAGCAUCUUCAGUGUUAGGAUCACCAAGAGAUCCUUUAACAACAGCUCUUUGAGAUUCCUGUGCUCUGGAAGGACACACCGCACACUACUUCAGCAACUAGCCUAGCUUCAGAUCUCCAAUCUUAAGGAGAACCUAAUUUCACUAUUGGGAUCAAGUAACAUCUCCAUCACAGAAGACUGUGUUAGCAGAGACAUUUGGAGUUGAGUUUGGAAUCUGGAGCAUCAAGUGCUCAGCACUGUCUACAGAUAAGGAGGACAGUUGCUCAAUCCAUCAUGAUUAAUAUGGAACAGUUUCUUGGGGCACAGGCGGCAGCAGUCAGACCGUGCAGAGCCCUGAAGGUCAGCCUCAGGAUUUCCACCCAGGAGGAAGGCAAGCAGGAAAGUGAUGUGAAAAGGUUUCCGUUUUAAAAGCUCACCACUGCCUCUAGUGUGGUCUAGGAACAGAGGAGACCCUCUUGAGGACUGUUUUGAAGAGGAGGCCAUUGGAGUGCUUUAGGUGAAAGAAGAUGGUGGUAGUAAACAGAGGGGGAUUUCAGAGAGAUUUAGGAGGCCAAAAAUCUUCAGCAACUGGUGAGUGGCUGGACAUGGGGAGAGGGAGAGGGAAGUAGAACAAAUAACUAACAAGCAACUGAGUCCAUAAUGGUGCCACCUGCUGAGAUCAAGGGCGCGGGUGAC
rnacentral:lncRNA from 1 species